AUUGAACGCUGGCGGCAGGCCUAACACAUGCAAGUCGAACGAGUGGCAGCCGGGUGAGUAAUGUCUGGGAAACUGCCUGAUGGAGGGGGAUAACUACUGGAAACGGUAGCUAAUACCGCAUACCAUCGGAUGUGCCCAGAUGGGAUUAGCUUGUUGGUUGGGUAACGGCUCACCAAGGCGACGAUCCCUCGCUGGUCUGAGAGGAUGAACAGCCACACGGGAACUGAGACACGGGCGAGACUCCUACGAGAGGGAGCAGUGGAGAAGAUUGCACCAUGGGCGAAAGCCUGUACCAGCCAUGCCGCGUGUGUGAAGAAGGUCUUGAGAUUGUAAAGCACUUUAAGUUGGGAUGCGUUACCAACAGAGUAAGCACCGGCGAACUUCGUGCCAGCAGCCGCGGUAAUAC
rnacentral:rRNA from 1 species